rnacentral:rRNA from 1 species
ACAUCGGUGACAGGUGGUGCAUGGUUGUCGUCAGCUCGUGUCGUGAGAUAUUGGGUUAAGUCCCGCAACGAGCGCAACCCUCGACCUUAGUUGCCAGCAUUCAGUUGGGCACUCUAAGGUGACUGCCGGCUAAAAGUCGGAGGAAGGUGGGGAUGACGUCAAAUCAUCAUGCCCCUUAUGACCUGGGCUACACACGUGCUACAAUGGGCGGUACAAAGGGUCGCGAACCCGCGAGGGGGAGCCAAUCCCAAAAAGCCGCUCUCAGUUCGGAUUGCAGGCUGCAACUCGCCUGCAUGAAGCCGGAAUCGCUAGUAAUCGCGGAUCAGCAUGCCGCGGUGAAUACGUUCCCGGGCCUU